UCCUACGGGGAGGCAGCAGUGGGGAAUAUUGCACAAUGGGCGCAAGCCUGAUGCAGCCAUGCCGCGUGUGUGAAGAAGGCCUUCGGGUUGUAAAGCACUUUCAGUCGUGAGGAAGGUAGUUGCGUUAAUAGCGUAAUUAUUUGACGUUAGCGACAGAAGAAGCACCGGCUAACUCCGUGCCAGCAGCCGCGGUAAUACGGAGGGUGCGAGCGUUAAUCGGAAUUACUGGGCGUAAAGCGCAUGCAGGUGGUUUGUUAAGUCAGAUGUGAAAGCCCGGGGCUCAACCUCGGAAUUGCAUUUGAAACUGGCAGACUAGAGUACUGUAGAGGGGGGUAGAAUUUCAGGUGUAGCGGUGAAAUGCGUAGAGAUCUGAAGGAAUACCGGUGGCGAAGGCGGCCCCCUGGACAGAUACUGACACUCAGAUGCGAAAGCGUGGGGAGCAAACAGGAUUAGAUACCCUGGUAGUCCACGCCGUAAACGAUGUCUACUUGGAGGUUGUGGCCUUGAGCCGUGGCUUUCGGAGCUAACGCGUUAAGUAGACCGCCUGGGGAGUACGGUCGCAAGAUUAAAACUCAAAUGAAAUUGACGGA
rnacentral:rRNA from 1 species